UCAACGAGCGCUUCGGCUUCUAAUGUUGA
rnacentral:sRNA from 1 species